rnacentral:lncRNA from 1 species
AUGGACGGUUCAGACGACUUACGCCAAUCCUCCACAGAACUGACGCCGGACGAGAUCGAAAUGCUAAGUUUACUUCCGGACUCUUUAGAACAGUAUUUGUUUAAUCAAGAAUCCCCUCCUAUUUUGGAUCUUUUUGAAUUAGCCGUAAAUCCAAAUAUGAAUUUGUUCGAUCCUCUGCUUAGCCUAGACACCGAUCCCGUUGUACAACACGGCGGUGUUUUAAACAACCCACCGGCGCCGUGCACCGAUCCUGAUCCUGACAACACAGAGCACCCCACCGGUAAUGAUACUCCGCAAGCGUCCACAUCAGGUAACGUCGACCCUACUACACAGACUCGAUUAAGCCGUACAGACGUUGACAGGUUGAUUCGCGAGGGUGGCGACGUAAACGGAUAUCAUGUUUUACCACGACCUCGUUUCAAUAGCGUGACAUUGAGAAGGACUACGAAUCUGAGAGAGAUUAACUCUACAGAUUUGGCCUCUUACCACGCCCGCUUACAUGACAUGCUUACCGGAAUUGUGAAUUUCGCUAGGGAGUUUGACCAAAAUUCUCCGGUGAUCAAUAUCACAUUGACGGCUCCCAGUUUACAGACCCCCGUUAGCGGGAUUUUAACCCGCGGUAAUAAUUACGACGCGGAUGGGUUUAUGGAUCAAAUCGAAAAAGUUUUACAGAGCAACGACCGGUUACUAUCUGACCAAACCGUAGAAUUUGAAGCUUCCGUAGCCAUGAACAGACAAGGCGGGGGUCGUCGUCGGAAACUCACGGACUUGGCUGUUGAUGAGGUGAUCAAAAGGAAAAAGACGAGUUUAUUUUGUCCGAUCAAUAUUUCAAAUAAUUUGUGCUUCUCCAUCUGCCUCGCCCGUUUUCUAAACCCCCAACGCCCCGAGAGCGAGUUAGAAAAACUGGCUUCCGUCAUCCAAAAGAGCGUCGGCUUCUCCAUCCAAGACCGAAUCGGUCUCGGCGACAUAGCCUCGUUCGAACGAGCGCUAGACAUUAAAAUCGUCAUAUUUCACAGAUCUAACGCCAUGAUCUUAGAAACCUACAAAAAUUCUGACGAACCCCAUCCAAAAACGGUCUUUCUGUAUCUCCACGACGACCACUACUACAUGAUAACUAGUUUGAAUGCGUUCCUCGGUUCAACAUAUGUGUGUCCAUUUUGCUACAAAUCUUACACCAGCCUCAGAGACCAUCGAUGUAAGCACGUCUGCAACAUCUGUUUCGACGCGGAAUGUUACAGGUUCCAAGCGAGAAACCUACAUUGCCCCGAUUGUUUGCGUUACUGUAAAUCGGCUUAUUGUUUCGAAAUGCAUAAAAAAAACCCGCCUCCCGGUCAGGAAUACCCCGCCUGUGAUAUGAUCAAAUACUGCAAACUAUGUAACCGACGUUACGACGUUAAACCGGGCAACCAGAAAACCAAACACACAUGCGCCCCAGACAAAUGUGUGCAUUGUCGAGAGUCUCUGACGGACGAUGGAGCACAUCAAUGCUUUAUACAACCUCUAGAGCUUAAGGAACCGUGUGAAAAGUAUAUUUUUUACGACUUUGAAUCACGUUACGAAAACGGACGCCACGAGGCUAAUUUUGUCUGUGCCAUGACGUUCAAAGGUCAGAAAUUUACCGCCUACGGCACGGACUGUAUCGCUAAGCUAAUCAAGCGCUUCAGACAACCCCGAUACAAAGGCUACUGCUUCAUCGCUCAUUACGCCUCCAGAUUUGACGCCUUUCUAAUUCUGGAGUAUUUUUGCAAAGCGGGGAUCGUGCUCGAGGUCAUAAUGCAAGGGUGCAAACUACUCCUGAUGUACGAUGACGCAUUUGCCCAACGAUACAUCGAUAGCUACUCAUUUUUCCCUUUCGCUCUCGCCAAAAUGCCGGCGGCGUUAGACUUGACGACGACUGAAAAAGGCUAUUUCCCCCAUCUUUUCAACAGGGUGGAAAAUGAGAACUACGUCGGACCGUACCCUGACAAAAAGUUCUACAACUACGAGAACAUGUCGGAUAAAGCCCAAGAAAAGUUUGACGCGUGGUACAGCACGGUCAAGGGUGAGCUCUUUAACUUCAAGAAAGAACUGUACGACUACGGCGUUAACGACGUCGUGUUAUUACGUGAAGGCUGUAUGAAGUACAGGACGUCAUUCCUACAGUGCACCCAACUCGACCCUUUUGCGUUCACGACGAUCGCCAGCUGCGCAAUGGGGGUCUUCAAAACACAUUAUCUCAGCAGAAACACGCUAGCCCUGACGCAUAACAAGGCGUACAUCCAUCAGAAUAAGUCCUACUCGAGCGGAUCGAUCCAAUGGCUCGAGUAUAUAAAAAAGACGCGAAACGUGGACGUUCAUCACGCCGUAAACCACGGCGAAGUAUCGAUCGGUAAGUACUUUUUAGACGGCUACUACGAGCAGGACGGCGUCAGGCACGGUUUAGAGUUCUCGGGGUGUGUUUUUCAUGGACAUUGCUGUCGUUUUGAACCCAAUCAGACGCACCCCCUGUCCGGAGUACCCUACGGGGUUCUCAGGAACCAGUUUGACGAUAAGAUUGAAAUUCUCCGGAAAGCGUACGGUUUGCAAAUCGAGGUUCUGUGGGAAUGCGAAUGGAAUCGGAUGAAAAAGACCGAUCCCUCCGUGAUAGAAUUUAUGGCCGAUUAUUCCGCCCCUGAGAGGCUGAAUCCUCGCGAAACGCUCUAUGGAGGCCGCACAAACUCCUAUAAGUUAUACCACAAAGUGAGCGGCGAUGAGAAAAUAAGAUAUCUGGAUUUCACCAGUCUGUACCCUUUCUGUCAGGCCAGGAAAAGCUACCCGAUCGGUCACCCCGAAAUCAUUUUCGCAGAUUUCGAACCGAUUGAAAAUUAUUACGGGCUUAUCAAAGCCACCGUGUACCCUCCCCGCAACUUACUCCAUGCAGUCCUUCCUUUCCGUUCGAACGGGAAGCUGACGUUCGCGCUAUGUAGAACCUGCGCUCAAGACCAAAACCAGACCUCGAGCUGUACCCACACGGACCAGGAAAGAUCGCUCUCGGGCUGUUGGGUCAGUAUCGAGCUUUUAAAAGCCAUCGAGAAGGGCUAUGUGGUAGCCAAGAUAGACGAGGUUUGGCAUUUUCCACAACGGUCAGACACGUUGUUUACCGAAUACGUAAAGACCUUCUUAUGUUUGAAACAACAAGCUUCGGGCUACCCUCCGAACGUCGUCACGGAUGCUGAGAAAGAGGCUUACAUUAGUGACUAUUUUGAAAAAGAGGGUAUUCAACUCGACCCGGAAAAAAUCAAGUACAACGCCGCCCAAAGGGCGAUCACUAAAUUAAUUCUGAAUAGUUUGUGGGGACGCUUCUCUUUAAGACCAAACUUACCUCAAACGAUUCUGGUGCGCGAGCCCGAAGAUUUCACCAGAAUCGUUUUUGGCAACACCGACACCUUGUCCUAUUUCUCAUUCGUCUCAGACGACGUAGCUCUAGUCCAGCAUAAACCCGACAAGGACGAUGUUUGCAAGGCGCGCGACGUCAAUGUUUUUGUAGGCGCUUUCACUACAGCGCACGCACGACUGGAAUUGUACGAAUUGAUGGACAGACUAGGCGAACGACUGCUAUACUCUGACACCGACAGCGUCAUAUUCGUGUCUAAGGACGGCGACUGGGAGCCUCCUCUGGGUGAUCAUUUAGGGGAGCUGACGAGCGAAUUGGACCCCGACGACCACAUAACGACCUUCUGUGCCAGCGCUCCCAAAUCUUACGCGUUUGAGACGGUCAAAGGUAAAGUCGUCAUGAAAGCUAAGGGCAUAACUCUGAAUGCUAAAAAUUCCAAAGCUAUCUGUCUCGAAUCCCUGAUUGGUCUGGUCGACAGCUAUGUGACGUCUCACGAUAGAUCCAAAUACAUCCUGGCUCAUACGGAAAACAUUGUGAGGGAUAAAAAGACUCUCACAUUACAAAACAAAUCAGUCGUUAAGAGGUUUAAGGUCGUCUACGAUAAACGUCGGCUUUUAAGCGAUUAUACCACGCUUCCUUACGGCUACUGA